CCUAGAUCCCAACAUUCAGCUUGAUGGGACAGAUAUUAUUUCUUUAGUAACUUUAAAAACCAUAAUUAUAAUUCACGUUAUCAACUUUUAGUAUUAUUAUUAUAUGUACGAGAAAACACCUACAUCAAUAAAUCGUUGUCGUCGUGAUUACGAGGCGGACGAACAUCACUGUUUCUUUUUAUACAGUCAACAAGCCAAUUAAUUCCUUCGUUAACUCCAUCACUAGAAAAAAUUUAGUUUAAUAUAUUAAUUGUAAUUACUUAUAAAUAUUUAUACCUAUUGAUUUUUUACUAGUUAUGUAAUUAUUAUCUGUAGUAAUGCUUUGAAAAA